UAUACUGUUUUGCACCUCCUUUUUUGAUUAAUAAUUUACUUGGAGAUCUUUUCCAUAUUAUCAUAUAAUCUCUCUCUCUCUCUCUCUCUCUCUCUCUCUCUCUCUCUCUCUCUUUCUCUCGGUUUUUAGUGUCACUGACUAAUGACCCAUUGCUUGGAUGAUUGUAAUCUAUCUAAUCCCUAGUAACCUCUUUAUAGACAUUUGGGUUCUUUCCAAUAUUUUGCUAUUAUAGAUACUGAUACACUGGAAAACUUGAAUAUAUUUCAUUGAACAUGUCUGCAGGUGCAGCAACAGGAUUAAUUCCGAAAUUUAAAUAGAUCCAAAGUUACGUAAGUUUAUCAUUUUGAUAGGUCUUAUCAAAAUGCCCUCUAUAAUAAUUGUACCAUUUCAGGGCUUCCUAAGCUUUUCCGCAUCAUGACAGUCAUAGUAAAGGAAACCACUAGCAUUGGGAUGAACCGGAAAGGAUUUGGAGCCCUACAAAAGUGACUUGUGGCUAACGGAACAAGCCUACGAGGUCUCACAAGCCAGAGACCAUCCCAGCUGCCAGAGACCCCAGAGGAGCUCAGCACCUUCCAGCACAGUGGCUGGGAACUCUGUGACAACACAUUUCCAUCAGCAAUGUCAGGGGAAAAAGGACUAUGAUGACUUUCUCAGUCAUGUUUAUGCAACAAUUCUGUGCUUUGGAAGAGUUAAGCAAGACUGGGGAACUUAUGGCUAGCUUUCCACAGAUGGACUGUAAACUCUGAGAAGCAAAUCCACUGCUAUGAUAAGACCAUGAAAACCUGAGGUCUCCAAGGAUGAUCCUGGAGUAAAUAUCUAAAGAGUCAGCAUAAAUGAUGGAAACCAAAAGAACUGUAGGAGUUCAGAUGAAGAGAAAAUUAUGUGUUGACAGGAACAAUGAUUGAGGAGGUUAUAUGGGAACAGAGAUCAGAAGGAUUCAUUGGAGGCUUCAGUAAAGCGAACUUGUGUUCUUCCUUUAAUUUUUUGGUCUAAGAACCUCGGAAAAUUCUUUCUCACUUGCCAUUCUAUGUUACUGGUUGCUUUUCACCUACUUCAGGAUAUGUCAAACUGUGAAGAAAAUGGAAAGAGGUAGAACCAGUUGAGGAGGAGGAAAAAGGUUUUGGAAUAAAAAAAAUAUAUAU
rnacentral:lncRNA from 1 species